UCCGUAGGUGAACCUGCGGAAGGAUCAUUACCGAGUGAGGGCCCUCUGGGUCCAACCUCCCACCCGUGUUUAUCGUACCUUGUUGCUUCGGCGGGCCCGCCUUUAUGGCCGCCGGGGGGCAUCUGCCCCCGGGCCCGCGCCCGCCGAAGACACCCACGAACUCUGUCUGAAGAUUGUAGUCUGAGUGGAAUUAUAAAUUAUUUAAAACUUUCAACAACGGAUCUCUUGGUUCCGGCAUCGAUGAAGAACGCAGCGAAAUGCGAUACGUAAUGUGAAUUGCAGAAUUCAGUGAAUCAUCGAGUCUUUGAACGCACAUUGCGCCCUCUGGUAUUCCGGAGGGCAUGCCUGUCCGAGCGUCAUUGCUGCCCUCAAGCACGGCUUGUGUGUUGGGCCCCGUCCUCCGCUCCCGGGGGACGGGCCCGAAAGGCAGCGGCGGCACCGCGUCCGGUCCUCGAGCGUAUGGGGCUUUGUCACCCGCUCUGUAGGCCCGGCCGGCGC
rnacentral:rRNA from 1 species